rnacentral:misc_RNA from 1 species
AACCCGCUCUGCCUACGCCGUCAUCCCGGAGGAGUCAAGUGUCUACCACUGCCAAGUCGAAACAGUAGCGUUGCAUGGACACGUAUAAGUUUUGGCAAAAAAAAAUCGUUCCGAGUGUACGAUAUGCAUGAAGUGUGAUCGAAACGAGAGUCGGGGGUGAGAUGAGAAUCGAUUAUGGAUCGCAGCUAUCGCGGUGUUGAGGAGGGUUGUGCAACUGAUGCAAAGGUACAUCCAGGGUUCGAAAUGAUCAACCACCAGCGAAGCUUUAAGCUUGCACUCGGUGACUUCCGUGGCCCUGGAGAUGACGAGGGUAAACUUGCCCGUGACUUUUACCAAUUUCGCGUCAACAACGCAGAUGACGACAUUCCGACGACUGUCCGUGUGGAUCGAGCUGCCGCUUCGCGGUGCGAUAACAAAAUACAUUACCAAAGUAUCGAGAACCACAAUCAUCGAACUCUCCACGGUUGUCCGCAAAGUUCUGGAGGGAACGUUCCUUACAGUAACUGCAACGAUCACGCGACCCUCGUACGCCGGACGAAUCACGACGGUGUCGUCGUCACGUCUCCGAUGACCCAGCUGUGCAAUUCGGUAUCGCCGAUCAUCACCGGCGGCGCGGGUUGCAGCGUAUCGACAAACUCGUCGGCGAAUUAUUGGAAACAGUACUGCUGCACUGGACAGGAAAGCGGGUAUGGCUCCGACGAAUUCGGUCAGGACUCACCAAGGUACACCUCCCCAAAAGCCGCGGCACUCUACGCCGACCACUAUUAUCUUGAUGACAACGGACCUGGAGCGGGCCCUGGUGAUCCAUGGACAGGAAGCACAGGCGGAGUGCAACCUCCGUACAGUGGCUACGCACCAUCCCAUUUGGCACAGCCAGCUUACCCCAUGCACAUACCCCAUGACCCUAUGGCAUAUCCCGUGAUAUCGCCGAAUGGUGAUACGGCAGCCCCGAUACUUGGUUCAGCUGUUACGAGUGCUGCGUCUUUACCACCGAUGUCAACGUUUCGAGGUAGCGCGGCUGUAGCAGCUGGCAGUGGGACGGGAGCUCCAUCUCCCGCUUCCUUGCAGUACAGCCACAGCCCCGGAGCUCCGCCACCAGCCCCCAGUGCACCAAGUGCGACAACCAACAACCAGCCAACGCCAGGAGACACCCUUGGCAAAGCGCUUGCCUCUGUUGUGAGUGCAAGAAUUUAUCCCACGGACCAAUCGGUAUCUAGCUAUAGCAGUAACCCUUCGACGCCGGUUAGCUCACCCCCUCCGUUAACGGGCUCUGCACCAGGCUGGGCCUCAGGCACAGCCCCAGUUUCCCCACAUUUUGCGGCAGACCCAAAUCGUGGCGGAACUAUUCACAUGCCGGCACCAGAGCAGCAGAGGCUAGAUGAUGCCAUCGGCUUCCUGCGCGACCAUGCCGAGUUGGUACAGGGAACACGGAUGGAGGAGCGACUGGACGAUGCAAUCAAUGUACUGAGGAAUCAUGCGGAAAGUCAGCUCGGCUUGCACCUCGCACCUGUAGGACCUCACGCCUCGUUAUAUUCCCAUACCUCACCCCCACAGUUGGACCAUUUAACGAGUCCUCACCCUGCGGUAACAGUGGCGCAACCCCAGGGUUCGUACCCUGGUCUGACGUCAACACCCGACACAGAUGGUUCUAUAAAAAUCGAGAGGUUACCUGUUUCAAAUGCCAAAUAUAUAUCUUUAGAAAAGAGGAAAGAUCCGCCAGACAGUAGUGGCGGCGAAACCAAACCUUCGAGCAGCGACUUGGUCACUGGAGCUGGUGUCAUAGGAGCCUCUACCGUCAAUUCGACGUCGCAAGGGAAAGGCACCAAGAGAUCGCGCAGAUAUUGUUCGAGCGCUGAGGAAGACUGCGACGACCCUGGCACUAAAGCGGUGCGUGAAAAAGAAAGACGACAGGCUAACAACGUUCGUGAAAGUUGUUCGAGCGCCGAAGACGAGGAUGAUGAUCCUGACAUGAAGGCUCAGAGGGAAAAGGAGAGGAGGCAGGCCAAUAAUGCUAGGGAAAGGAUACGUAUUAGGGAUAUUAAUGAAGCUUUGAAGGAACUCGGCAGAAUGUGUAUGACGCACCUAAAGACCGACAAACCACAAACUAAACUUGGCAUUCUUAAUAUGGCUGUCGAAGUUAUUAUGACCUUGGAGCAACAAGUCAGAGAACGGAAUCUAAAUCCAAAAGCAGCGUGUUUAAAAAGGAGAGAAGAAGAGAAAGCUGAAGAUGGUCCCAAAUUACCUGGACAUUUAGCUACCCACAUAGCGCAUCCUCAUCCCCAUCCGCACUCGCACUCGCAGCCGCCAUUCCCCGCGAUGCCUGGGCCACCACCUUCCCUUCAACACAACCAGUCUCAACCACAGUAGCAGCGGCUGGGCGAUAACGUCGCUCUGUGUUAAGGCGAUGCGUUUGCUAUAAGUUUUUCCAUCACUGGGCUGUCUUGUUGCUGUCUCGUGAAUGGAUUCUAAUUAUCCUACCGUAUAGCGUACUUAUUUUGGCAGCAAAGAAAAUAGCCGCACGUACGGCAAUAGAGUACAGAAUUACUUGCUUUGUGAAGAAUACAGUGUCUCAAGAAGUGAUUAAGAUUCCUCUUAGAUGCAUGUUUUGAAAUUUCGCCCGCAGUGAGUAAUCUGACAGUUUUCUAUUUUUAAUUUUAUCGCGUAGCAACGAAAGGUCGUGUACCAUAAUAAAAUAUUGCUCGUUACAGUUUGCAUUUUUGAACUAGGUAAUAGAGAAGUUCAAUUGCAUAAAUUUGUACAAUACCCCAGAAUGUUCAACCCCAGGAACACAAAUUAUAAAUACUUCUAUUCCUUUUUAUUCUUGCCGUGUCGCAUAGCAAAGAGUGAAUAUCAUUUUGUUGCUUUCAUCUAACCAGGCAUAUUUCGAUAGUAUAAGUUUAAGCUUUCGUUGUAUCUGUAAUUAUCCAAAUAGUCCUGCAUUUUCGAAAAACAAAGGAUUUGACAAGUCUUCAAUCGGUAUACUAAAUACAUAAUAGCUGACGGUAGAAGUGACAACAGAUUUUUUAUUCGAUACGACGUUAUUAAAGUUUUGUCUUGGAAAGAGAGUCAAGAAAUAUUGACUUGGAUGAUAUUUUUAAAAAAUUAUAUUUUUAUUAUAUAAAUAAAUACUAUUUAUUCAUGAAAACAACAACGAAUAAUCAUUGGAAUUUAACUUUAAAUGCACUGCCCAAAAUACGGACUUUAUAUUUCGGUAACUUACAAUGACGCCAUCCUUAUUGUAUGUUAUCAGAUUUUAAGACAAACGAAGAAAACAAUGUUUUUACUAUUCACAUUUAACAUUUCCAAGAAUUAUUAAUAUCAUGCAUAUGCCGUGGGACCGUAAAGAGAAUUGUCGGUCACUAUACAAAACUCGCGUUGAAUAAAUGAUUAUUAAAUUGCAUCACAAUAAGACGUACAUACAAUUGUUUUUUAUCACAUGCCAAUCGUUUGGAUCUUUACGAAGCGAAUUUUAAGAACAAUGCACCCUUCUUGGUAGUACUUAUUUCUCGUAUUUCUUAUUGUUGUACAGCGGGCAAAGUAACCAAAGUCAUGUUCACAAGCAUUAAUAGCAGUAGUGUAUGUUUUACUACUGAAAAAUUCUCCACAUGCACACGUUCAUUUCCAUAUACUUACGCAUUUCGUAGAGAUAUUUCGAUAGCCUUUUAUAAAGAAAAGAAAUAUCAAACAAAAAAGAUGACUGUGAUUCAUAAUUUCUAUUUUCAUUUACAAUCAAUUGCCAGUGCCCUUUUUUCCAAUUUUCUUUUUUCUCUUGGUAUGUGAGUAAGGGGAAAUAAAAAGUACGAAAUUAUGUAGAGAAAAAAAAACUGACAAGUUUCAAAGUUUUUUAUUUAUAAUAAUAAAUAAAUUAUCACAUCUUAAUUAUAAAAUAUUUUAGCAAUAUACAGAUUUCUGAAAUUCAUUUCUGUUCGCUAUUAAUGUAAUAAAUGACGAUCUGCAUCGGCAGAGCAUAAGCGGCGCAACGCGUGUGACGUGACUACUCGUGUAAGCACGAAUAAAGCUCGCGGGUAUGCGAGUGUUUGUGUAUGUGAAAUAAAAAAUGCGUUGCUCAAAGACUAUACACAAGAUUAGGUAUUUAGAAGGAAACCUGGCUUUAUCUAUAGCGUGUGUAGAAUAUCCACACUUGACGUGUGUGAGCAGUUUAAGUGGAUACAUGUCCUAGUACGCACCUGAAGCAUGUUUCAUCAUUUCCCACCUCUCUUCGUCGCGACAGCUCUGAAACAGAUUAAUCAGGAUUCAAAUCGUUACUGUAUCAAUAAUCUUGUCGGAAUUACUCCGCCUGCUUAUUAGCAACAAGGCGAAAGAUUUUUGAUGCUUAUUUUUGUAAUGAUUUUUUUUUGACGUUUACUUAUAUUUCUCUACGCGUUAUAGAAUCUUCGGGUAUAACGGAUAAGUAUUAUGUAACGAGGCGAAUUUGUUGAAAUUUCCGCUAGUAAAUAAGAAAGCAAUUAAAUGUGAUAAAUUACUUACAUUUUCUCAACAUCCCGCAACACGCUUUGCAGUCAUUGUGUUGUAUCGAUACAAUCGAAAUAGAUAACUGCAUGUUGAGAACAUUUGCGUUGUAUACUAAACUUUUGCUUUGCCUAACAAGGUAAGGGGGGAAGGGGGGGGGAGAGUAGUAGUGUCAAACCAGAUACAUCAGGCAUCCGAAUAUAAAACAAUGUAAUGAUAGUGAUGGAAAAACUUGGUACAAGCGCAUCGUCUUUGUCAUACCAUGGGAUGUAGAACGACAUCUAAGUGGGCAUGAUAAUUUCUUUGACUUGAAUUCAAUAUCUGGCUAAUGGGCUUAUCUCUGCUUUUACUUUACGGUACUCGACGUCAAUUGAAAUUGUAUUCCAUCUUUGAAUUUACCAUUUGUUUCGUGAAGUUGAGCUGUCCGCGCAGCAUAGAGCUCAAUUCCACGAAAGUUUCUUCAAUAAUCUUAUAUAUUUUACUAUCAAGUGACUGAUAACACAUUUUAACAACUUACGUUCAGGUCAAUUAAGCAAUGUCAUGCUUUGUGAGACAAUUUUCUGACGAAAAAAUCCUUUCAAUAUAGGCGCACUAGAGGCAAUGCGUUUGUGCAUCUGGUUUUAUUUCUUUCUUCGUUUGAGCAUCAUUGUUUUUAAGAUUGAAUGCCCGAUGUGAUUUCGAGAAAUGAUGAACUGUAUGAAUUUAUCGAUAUAAAAGUUUUUUUUUUUUUUUUUACCCAUCUAUCCGCCGUGCUAUUUCGCGUGUAUUACGUACAUGCAUAUGUAUACAGUAACAAACUUUUAUUUGAAAAACUAAGUGAUCCCAGUGACGUUUCUUAAUUAUUUCGUUUAUAUUACUUUCAUAUUUAUCAAUGAUCAGAAUGUGGCCCCAGCUACAGAAAGAUAGCAAGGGGAGUGUGAUAAAAACCAGUCACAACUGAGACAACUCCCGGUUGAUAAAUUUUAUCAUAUAUUAGUAGAGCAUGUUUCAAAUUAUCAAAUUUUAACGGAAUUAUUGUUUCGUCUGUGAAUUUUCUGGUAGUUUCGCAAAAACGGAAUGAAUAAGGAGAAGUUCUUAAAUUACUUGGAAAAAAAUCCUGACGCCAAACAUGUGCUUUAAGUGCUUACUAGCGAACGCAUUCCCUUAAGAUUAAGGACAAUAAAUAUUAUACCUUUGCGUACACACUCAUAUUUCAUUGCUCCUAGUUAAGGAGUGUUUGUACAUAGGAAAGAGUUCUGCCCGCCUACUUAAAUUUGCUUUGUCAACUUGCACCGGCGCGCUAGCAAACAGACGAUAUAUGGUAUAUUCUGUUCCAGUGAAAGAAUUGUUCAAACAUUAUUAUUAUUAUUAUUAUUAUUAUUUCGUCAGUAUGUGUAUAGGGGAUUCAAAUUUUAUGCAGUACUUUUUCCUACAUUCGUGGCUAAUUUAUAACGAGAUAGGAAAAAAUUUGCUAGGCUGGAGUUUAUGUAUACGCUUUUUUUUUUAUUAUUAUUCAAUCGGUUUGUAGAGAGAACAGACCAGUGAAUAAAUGCUUCAAGCGGUUGAUAAUCUCAAAAAGAAUUGACAACUUUUGGUAACGAUUGCAUUGAACUGCUAAUUUUCCAUCCAGAGUUAAUUUAUUUACUGAUGGGUUCAUUCUAUCUGUGUGAAACAAGAUAUCGGACAGAAGUGUUUUAUUUGUUGACUUUACUUUACAACAACAUUAUACGCACACGUCCCAGACAUUUGGCACUUUUGAGUAUUAUAAUAUAAAUUACAAUAUUUCAUACACAUACUAUACAUAUAUAGCAAAUUUUUAGCAUUAGAAAUAUAUUCCAUGUUUGUUAUUAUUUAAGUUUUUUCUUUUACUACGAAUUACCGAUAGGUCAGAUAUAUAAAUAUAUAUAUAUAUGUAUAUACAUAUAUAAGGACUGUGCGGAUUUCCGGAAUCUCGGGACAAAAGUUUAGAUUGUGGAUGGGUUUGUAUCAAAUCAGAUCAGAUUUUUUGGCGAUCCAGAAAUUUUGGAGAAAACCGUAACGUGGAUAACCGAACUUACCGAAUAUUUAUAGUAUUGGACAAAUACUAAAUAAUAGUAGUAAAUAGUAUAUGUAAAUGGCAUAUCUAAAUGGCGUAAAUAUUUUCAGUUAAAAAUAUAUCAUCUUUCAUCGGGAGAUCCAGGAAUGCCGAAAAUUUUGACAAAACUGAUAUUGUAGAGAAUCCCGACAUUUUCAUAAAUCCGGAUGUUUUCGGGGAUCACAAAACUCUCGGCAACACGACCCUAAAGUAAUAGAUUUCUUCCGAUAUGACGACCCGAAGAAUUCUGGUACCCGCACAGCCCUAGUAUGUAUGUAUAUUUUUUGUAUUUUUUUUUUUUUCAUCAUUUCAUAUCGAUGAUAUAUUUUUUUUUUUUUUUUGCAAUAUUAUUAUAUAUUAUUGUACUUGAAAGAUCAUAUUUCAAGCUGCAUUAUUAUGUUAUCAAAGUGAGUUUUAAAAAGGAAAAAAAGGAAAAAAAACGACGCACUGAAAUUCUGAAUUUAAUCAUUACAAAAUAACGUUAUGUCUAUACAGUACCGUAUUAACGAAGCUAAAAAAAAAAAAACAAAUUAAUAAAAAUAGCAAAUCCCACGCUGGUAUAUGCAAAUUCUUUCUCCACGCAAAAUUUCUCUCUGUUCGCAAAUUGUCGCGGAGAAGUUUUAUGAAAACAAAUAUCCAAAGAAAAAAAAAAUAAAUAAAUGACAAUUGUUUGAGCGGACAGGAAUUUCGAACAGUGGUGAAAGA